UGGGGAAUAUUGGACAAUGGGCGAAAGCCUGAUCCAGCCAUGCCGCGUGUGUGAAGAAGGUCUUCGGAUUGUAAAGCACUUUAAGUUGGGAGGAAGGGCAGUUACCUAAUACGUAUCUGUUUUGACGUUACCGACAGAAUAAGCACCGGCUAACUCUGUGCCAGCAGCCGCGGUAAUACAGAGGGUGCAAGCGUUAAUCGGAAUUACUGGGCGUAAAGCGCGCGUAGGUGGUUUGUUAAGUUGGAUGUGAAAUCCCCGGGCUCAACCUGGGAACUGCAUUCAAAACUGACAAGCUAGAGUAUGGUAGAGGGUGGUGGAAUUUCCUGUGUAGCGGUGAAAUGCGUAGAUAUAGGAAGGAACACCAGUGGCGAAGGCGACCACCUGGACUGAUACUGACACUGAGGUGCGAAAGCGUGGGGAGCAAAACAGGAUUAGAUACCCCCGUAGUCCCUGAGCGGGCUGGCAAGGCGCAU
rnacentral:rRNA from 1 species